rnacentral:lncRNA from 1 species
UUUUUUUUUUUUUUUUUUUUUUUUUUAUUUAUUCAUGAUAGUCACAGAGAGAGAGAGAGAGAGAGGCAGAGACACAGGCAGAGGGAGAAGCAGGCUCCACGCACCGGGAGCCCGAUGUGGGACUCGAUCCCGGGUCUCCAGGAUCGCGCCCUGGGCCAAAGGCAGGCGCCAAACCGCUGCGCCACCCAGGGAUCCCUGCCCUGCUCCUUUUUAAUCACCUAAGAAGCAACACUGAUGUGACAAGCUCCAGAAUAGGGCUCAAUGUUGCUGAUCGGCAGCUUGGGCCCGAUGAUGAGAAAUGCCCCCCCCCCGCCCCCCCCGCCCCGCGUAAACUUGAAGGAGGCAGGGAGACCUUGCCGGAGUCAUUAUCCGCUACCCCGGACUGGAAAGAAGAGGUGUGGCCCUUUCUAGGCGAAUAUGAACAAGCUCAACGUAAUCUCACAGAGCCUGCAGCAUUUCGUCUGGGAAGUGAAGGCACCUGCCAGUGCCGCUCGAUAGACACAGCGCUCCCCGUCCCGCAGACUGUGCGCCCGGCGGAGCCCCCGAGCGAGCGCGGCUCCUGUGCACGCCCCAGGGCUGACACCAAGCUCCCCCUUGGUCUCGUCCUCCUUCUUGUCCCUUUCCCCCCUUCCCUACGGAUAGCGGUGUUGCCGCCUACACUGAUAUUCUGCAUUUAGGGGCAGCUUCUGCGUGGCUGCUGAGUUGCCAGCACGCACAGCGCCCGCGAGCAGGCUGCGAGCCGCAGCGGGGAACUGCCUGCCUGCCUGCCUGUCUGUCUGCCUGUCUGUCUGUCCGCGCCUCCGGCGGCCAGGCUGCGGGGCUCUCGGGCUCCGCACCAGCCCCGCGGUCGCCCCUGGGCGAUGCCGUCUCUGCAGCAGCGCGAGGGGCAGCAGCUCCCAGCCCCGGAGCAGAGCGCGGGAAGCGGCUGCGCGCGGCUCGGCUGGGGCCCCGCAGCCCUGUUCCCGGGCCCGCGGCAGGUCUGCGCGCCAUCUAGUGGCUCCCCUGGGUCUGGGCGCGCGGCAUCCAGGGGAACCGGGGUCGUGCGACGUCCUGGGAGCAAUCCUGAGAGCGUGAUCAUAAAAAAAUAAUAAUAAAAAUAAAAAUAAUUAAAACAAAAAUAAUUAAAAUAAAAUAAUAUAAAAUAAUAAAAUAAAAUACUCAAACGACAAUGGAAGCAGUGGGGAAGGAGGCUUAUCUAAUAAAAGCAAAGGAAAAGAAGGAAAAAAAUAUAUAUAUACAUUUGUAAUAUUAUAUAUAUAUAUAUGAGCUCAAAUAACUCUUGCAGGAAUUUCACCACCGCUUGUUCAAGUAUGAGCUUUAAGUCUUUGAAAUGUCAAAUGUGCUUCGUUAUGUAUUAUGAGGAAGAAAACAUGAAAAGGUUAUUUUGCCGAAUUCUUUUUUACCAUUUUUUUCUUUCCUAUAAUGUGCCAAACUGGAUACUGUACGACUGCUUUCAUUUUACUUUAAGGGGUUAUGAUUCAGUAAGGCAAUCCGAAUGGAACCGAAAUCCUUAUUUUUUUUCCUACCAUCUAAUAAAUAUAUGUGUCUAAAAGAUGCUGCUGACAAAAAUACCCCACCAGCUACUGCUCCCUUCAUCACCCCAACCCCAUCUAUUCCUGACAUCUCCCAAAAGAGAUGUUCUUGGCACACGCAUAUCUUCUGGAUGAAAGGACUUCAAGUUUCUUCUUGGCCAAGUGAUGUCUAUUACUCGGUAUAAGAUCAAAUUCAAAAUACAGCUCCUGGAAAGCUAUACCCCUGAUGAUCGGUGAUCACUUCUUACUUUAAGGUUACCCGUCAUGUCUUUAUUCUUGUUAUUGAAGUACAAUUGCCAUACGAUGUUAUAUUAGCUUCAGGUGUGCAACACAGUGAUUCAACAAUUCUAUACAUCACACGGUGCUCACCACGGGAAGUGCAGUCACCAUCUCUCACCUUGUUAUUACAGUAUUAUUUACUGUAAUCCCUAUGCUGUGCUUUUUUUAAUUUUUAUUGAAAUAUAAUUAACAUACAAGGUUAUAUUAGCUUCAGGUGUACGACAUCCAAACAUGUCUCAUUUAAUGUUGCCACUUGUCUGUGAUUUCCUGUGAUCUGUAUGACCUACAGCAUCUACCACAGUCCAGGAGCUUCUUAAAUGUUGAAUAUGUAGCUAUGACAUAAGAUACAUAAGAUCUCUGUUAAAAUCUAUUAAUAAAAAUAAAUAAAUAAAUAAAUAGAUCUAUUAAUAAAUACUCUGGUUAUUUUACCCUUUUGGUUGGGUUAUUGGAAAUAAGUAACAUUUAUUGAGCCUUACUAAAGCAGGCCCUGUUAAGUACUCAUAAUUUUCUUAUCAGACGCUCACAAUAGCCUUAUGAAAUAAGUACUACUACCAUCCUUAUCGUGCGUGUGGUUCAGGAAAGCCAAGUCUGAAAGGUUAAGAAAUUCACCCAGCUGACAUGGGUAGCGAGAGAUGGAGCAGGAACCUGAUUUCAGUUUGUCUCCAGAGCCUGUACUCAAAACCACUGGGCUACACUCUACCUUCUAUGUCGUUAUUAAAUAUAUGAUACGCGCUUAUCUUAUUACUGGUUGCAUUAUAUUUCAAUGAUUCGUGUUACACAAACUAAAUAGUUAUCAUUUCAUCCCAUGUAAAACCAGUUCUUUUAGGUAGCUGCUAAAAUUAUUCAAGUUGUUCAUAUUUUUUACCAUGUUUGUUCUUCAAAGAAUGAGCUUACUAUAAUUAAAAGACUUGUACAGAGGAAGGAAAAGAAAUUACUUUGCUGAUCAAAGGACUGAUGUAGGAAAAUAUGCAAGCUGACUGCAUUUAGCUAAGAUUGCAACAAUGAAGUGGAAAAGCUAGGGGAAAUGGGGGGAUCUGGUAAUAACUCUUUCUUUGUUUUUUCAGUUCACCUGACCUCUUCAAACAUUCUAAUUUAGAAAUGCUCCUCACAGUCCUCAGGCUUGGCCUCAUGAGUCAGCAAAUCAGGAACCCCACAGGAGCCACCUAUGGGGUUUCAUUUCAAGAAAAUUAGAAAGAGCUCCUAAUCUCCUAAAAUAUUUAAAGAUAUUUAAAAUUGAGUUCUUAGAGCAUCUUGCCUUUGGCUUAACCAAAAAAGGGACAACACUGGUCAUAAUUACUCAAAACUGGAAAUAACCUACAUGUCCCUAGACAAUAAAACAGAUAAAUAACAUGCUAAUUCAUACAACGAAAUACUCAGCAUUGAAAAUGAUUGCACUAAUGCCACACACACGCAACACAAAACGUCAUUUUUAUCAACAUAUUUUUUAAAGUCUGUUUUAUUUUUUAAGUAAAUUCUGCCCCCAAUAUGGGGCUCAAACUCACUACCCCAAGAUCAAGAGUCACAUGCUCUACCGACUGAGCCAGCCAGGAUCCCCAACACAAAAUAUAAUUUUGGGCAAAAGAAGCAAGACAGAAUAAUUCCACCCCCAUAAAGUGCCCAAAAAGGCAACACUACACUAUUGUUUAGGGAUGCAUAAUUCAGAUUGGGACACUAUGGAGAAACCGUAAGGUAAUAAUGCCACUGAAACUGGAUGAGUGGCUGCCUCUGAGAGGAAAGGGAAAAAUAGGAAGGAAGACCAUUUCUGGAGGUCUGGUGACUCUUCCUCAAACUCUACAGUCAUGCUACGUUCACUUUUCUAUUUCUAUGUUAUAUUUCACAAUAAAAAAUGUAAAAUAAGCACAUCUUAUGAUCAUUCCAAAGAUGCAUCAGGAAAAAGAACACAUUAAGCUUUAUGCAUCAUUUAUGCAGAUUGGCAAGGAGAGGAAAGAAGAGCCGGCAUGAAGACUAAAUUCUAGAAGAAGGCAGUGGUUGCAUUGUGAGCUCAAGAAGCAGACAGAUCUGGAUUUGAACUAGAGGCCGGCUACUGGCCAACUGUGGGCCCUGGGCUGGUGUAUAAGCCUUUCAGACCCUGCACACUCUCCACCUAUGAAACAAAGAUCAUGGGAGGGCCUCCAUCACAGGGUCAUUUUGAAGCUCCCACAAUGUACUGGUUUUCAUUAAUUGCCCAGUAAGUGUUUUUUUUUUUUUUUCCUUCUUUCUCAGAGAUUGGGGGUAGACGGGGAAAUCACCACAGGGAGUAGAAAAGGAGAAAACUCAGAGACUGCACUCACUAUAUUUCCUUUCCACUCAUCAACCCC